AGGAAAGCAGGGGAUCGCAAGACCUUGCGCUUUUGAAGCGGCCGAUGUCUGAUUAGCUAGUUGGUGAGGUAAAGGCUUACCAAGGCGUCGAUCAGUAGCUGGUCUGAGAGGACGACCAGCCACACUGGGACUGAGACACGGCCCAGACUCCUACGGGAGGCAGCAGUGGGGAAUUUUGGACAAUGGGGGAAACCCUGAUCCAGCCAUGCCGCGUGAGUGAAGAAGGCCUUCGGGUUGUAAAGCUCUUUCAGCCGGAACGAAACGGUCACAGCUAAUACCUGUGACUACUGACGGUACCGGAAGAAGAAGCACCGGCUAACUACGUGCCAGCAGCCGCGGUAAUACGUAGGGUGCGAGCGUUAAUCGGAAUUACUGGACGUAAAGCGUGCGCAGGCGGUUUUGUAAGUCAGAUGUGAAUCCCCGGGCUUAACCUGGGAACUGCGUUUGAAACUACAAGGCU
rnacentral:rRNA from 1 species